rnacentral:rRNA from 1 species
CAGUAGCCACGGUAAUACGUAGGGUGCAAGCGUUAAUCGGAAUUACUGGGCGUAAAGCGUGCGCAGGCGGUUAUAUAAGACAGAUGUGAAAUCCCCGGGCUCAACCUGGGAACUGCAUUUGUGACUGUAUAGCUAGAGUACGGCAGAGGGGGAUGGAAUUCCGCGUGUAGCAGUGAAAUGCGUAGAUAUGCGGAGGAACACCGAUGGCGAAGGCAAUCCCCUGGGCCUGUACUGACGCUCAUGCACGAAAGCGUGGGGAGCAAACAUGAUUAGAUACCCCGGUAGUCCCUGUCUCUUAUAC